rnacentral:rRNA from 1 species
CACGUAGGCACCAAGCGUUGUCCGGAUUUAUUGGGCGUAAAGAGCUCGUAGGCGGUUCAGUAAGUCAGGUGUGAAAUCUUUGGGCUUAACCCAAAGCGUGCACUUGAUACUGCUGUGACUUGAGUUCGGUAGGGGAGUGGGGAAUUCCUAGUGUAGCGGUGAAAUGCGUAGAUAUCAAGUGGAACACCAGUGGCGAAGGCGAGUCUCUGGACAUUUCCUGACGCUGAGGCACGAAAGCCAGGGGAGCAAACGGG